rnacentral:lncRNA from 1 species
AUGUUAUCAACUGUGUUCUAUCAAGUAGAUAAAGUAGAUCAAAGUCACUGUGCGGGUGAGCCGUACAGUGAUUUUUUCAAUGCGUACUGCUUGACAGAUUCUAUACCAAAUAUUUUACCAACUAUGAUCAUCAGUUUAGAUGGAUUUCUUGCACUGAAGAUAUCACUAUGGCUCUUCUGCCUUUUCGCAUUUGACGGCGCCGUGUCCCAAUCUCUCAAUGCCACGACAGUGAAAGGACCUCCAUGGAGAAUCCUGUUCUUCGGCUCCGACGAUUUCUCUUUGAGAACAUUGAGUGCUCUCACCGACGAGUUGUAAGUUCGUUCAUACGUUGUAUAUCGACGGUGAAACUACCAAACCACGUAUCUCGUUUGCGGUGUUUAAAAAUCUACGCUCACACUUUAUUUUUUUGAAGUAGACCAAAUCAAUAUCAUUCCUUGAAUUUUUAAUGAAAUUUUUCCGCAAGAAGAGGAAAAAUCACAGAAAUUUUCAAGACUGGACGUUAAGUAGUUUUUUCAUUUAAAAAAUAAAGUAUGACAGGAAGUCUGCUACGUCGCAAACCGAGGUACGUGGUUUGGUAGUUUCACCGUCGAUAUGUACUUAAAGAUAGUAUGCGGUUACGGGGACAAGUGGUCCUUACCCUCCAGCAAAGCAUGAUUCCCUCGUGCACUCUGCACACGAGGCUUCGCCGAAACGUGCUGAGUAAAAUUCAUCUUAACGCAAAAACUACAAAAAAAGGAAGAGAAAAAAUUUUCAUUUUUUUAUUGCGAAUUAAUUGUAUUGCGAAUUAAUUAAUGCACGAAUGCACGUAUAGUACGUGCAUCGAAUUAAUAAUGAUCAAAACGGACACACUAAGGUGCAAAUUACCAUACAUUAAUUCACAAAAACGUGAUUCCAUAAAGAUUUUGAGGUUUUAGACUGGAGAUUAAGAAAAGCGCCCCAGUAGCGUGGCGUGUUUUGCGAUUUAUCAAUUUAUCCACCAUUUUUUGUGGAAAGGAGCGAUACGUUUAAUAUUAACCGAGAUAUGUCGCUUUGAAAAAUUCGGUUUGUGACGUCAUACACUGCGGUAGUGACACCCUUGGUUUCUUCCACCUUGCUUACAUCCGAGUUCCACGGCGAGUACCUUGUGCAAAUGUGCGUCACAAAUGGUUAAAGCGCGAUAUCUUGGCUAAUAUUGAAACCAGCACAACUGACACAUUAAUUACUUGCUUGUUAUGUUCUUUAUCAUUUAAAGUAAACAAAGUAGAAAU